rnacentral:rRNA from 1 species
GACGAACGCUGGCGGCGUGCCUAAUACAUGCAAGUCGAACGCAGUGGGGACGGGUGAGUAACACGUGGGUAACCUCCCAUCAGAGGGGAUAACACUUGGAAACAGGCGCUAAACCGAUACUGAUGGAUGAAGCCGCGGUGCAUUAGCUAGUUGGUGAGGUAAAGGCUCACCAAGGCCACGAUGCAGAGCCGAGCUGAGAGGAGUACCAGCCACACUGGAACUGAGACACGGUCCAGACUCCUACGGGAGGCAGCAGUGGGGAAUAUUGCACAAUGGGCGCAAGCCUGAUGCAGCCAUGCCGCGUGUGUGAAGAAGGCCUUCUGGUUGUAAAGCACUUUCAGCGGGGAGGCGUUACCCGCAGAAGAAGCACCGGCUAACUCCGUGCCAGCAGCCGCGGUAAUUC